AACGAACGCUGGCGGCAGGCCUAACACAUGCAAGUCGAGCGAGGACUUCGGUUCUAGCGGCGGACGGGUGAGUAACGCGUGGGAAUGUGCCCUUCUCUACGGAAUAGCCCUGGGAAACUGGGAGUAAUACCGUAUACGCCCUUUUGGGGAAAGAUUUAUCGGAGAAGGAUCAGCCCGCGUUGGAUUAGGUAGUUGGUGGGGUAAUGGCCUACCAAGCCGACGAUCCAUAGCUGGUUUGAGAGGAUGAUCAGCCACACUGGGACUGAGACACGGCCCAGACUCCUACGGGAGGGAGCAGUGGGGAAUCGUAGACAAUGGGGGCAACCCUGAUCGAGCCAUGCCGCGUGAGUGAUGAAGGCCUUAGGGUUGUAAAGCUCUUUCAGCUGGGAAGAUAAUGACGGUACCAGCAGAAGAAGCCCCGGCUAACUCCGUG
rnacentral:rRNA from 1 species